GUUUCCUUGGGAGCUCAACAGUCACGCAUCAGAUUUCCAGGGAAGUGCCCCGAGAGGGGAGUGGGUUGGAGCUGAGCUUGGCUGUCACCCCACGGAAAGGAGGGCUGAACAUUGC